rnacentral:rRNA from 1 species
CCCUUAGAUGUCCUGGGCCGCACGCGCGCUACACUGAGUGUCUGAGAUACGAGUCUGCCUGGUCCGGCAAGGUCUAGGUAAUCGCUAAAAGACACAUAAUGCUUGGGAUAGAUUAUUGCAAAUAUUAAUCUUGAACGAGGAAUUCCUAGUAAGCGCAAGUCAACAGCUUGCGUUUAUUACGUCCCUGCCCUUUGUACACACCGCCCGUCGCUACUACUGAUUGGAUGUUUAAGCGAGGUUCUCGAACUGCUAGCGACUUAGCUUCGGUGAGGUCGCAGUGUGGGAAGUGAACCUAGCUUUGGUGUCUAGAGGAAGUAAAAGUCGUAACA